AUCCCUUAUACACAAAUACACACUGCUUCCACUACACACAAACACACUGCAUCACCUGCACAAACUGGUAUCCCUAUACCCUACAUACCAUAAGCACACAUAUUAGAUCCUCUACAACAGGGGUUCUCAACCCAGUCCUCGGGACCCCCUACCAGUCCAGAAUUUGGGGAUUACCUGGGUGUGUCUCAGGUGUUUAGAAAAAG